rnacentral:rRNA from 1 species
AUGUUGAAACACCUGGACCUGCAGGAAGAUGAGCUUCAUGGUGUUGUGGUGGGAGAAGAAGAGGUGAAGAAGUAUGCAACAGAUGCGAGGUGGCUUGCGAUUGGGAAGGUAAACACGACAAGGCAGUUCAGCGCAUCGGCGAUGUUCGAGACGCUGAAGUCAAUCUGGAGGCUUGCUAAUGUGCCAACUUAUCGCGAGGCGGGUGAGAAUCUCUUCAUCUUUCAGAUGUUUUGUCUGGGUGAUUGGAAGAAGGUUGUACAUGGAGGUCCAUGGCUGUUUAGGGGGAUGGGAAUGCUUAUUGAGGAUUAUGACGGCAAGCAGGAGCCGUCCUCUGUCGUCUUUGAUGGUCUGUUUGUUUGGGCCUAGAUACACAAUAUCCCGGAGCUGUACUGGAAAGCAGAGGUAGUGGAUCAACUUGCUCGCCGUAUUGGUCGCGUGAAGGAGACACAACUCUCGCCUCGCCUCUUUUAUGAGGGCGAC